rnacentral:rRNA from 1 species
AUGAACGCUGGCGGCGUGCCUAAUCCAUGCCAGUCGCGCGAACAGACGAGGAGCUUGCUCCUCUGACGUUAGCGGCGGACGGGUGAGUAACACGUGGAUAACCUACCUAUAAGACUGGGAUAACUUCGGGAAACCGGAGCUAAUACCGGAUAAUAUAUUGAACCGCAUGGUUCAAUAGUGAAAGACGGUUUUGCUGUCACUUAUAGAUGGAUCCGCACCGCAUUAGCUAGUUGGUAAGGUAACGGCUUACCAAGGCGACGAUGCGUAGCCGACCUGAGAGGGUGAUCGGCCACACUGGAACUGAGACACGGUCCAGACUCCUACGGGAGGCAGCAGUAGGGAAUCUUCCGCAAUGGGCGAAAGCCUGACGGAGCAACGCCGCGUGAGUGAUGAAGGUCUUCGGAUCGUAAAACUCUGUUAUUAGGGAAGAACAAAUGUGUAAGUAACUAUGCACGUCUUGACGGUACCUAAUCAGAAAGCCACGGCUAACUACGUG